GCCAUGACAUAUUCGAUAUCACGAAGAAGAGGAAGUAUAAAAGGCAGCCCAGCGUGGGUUUCCGUCUCUUUAUUUCUCAGUUCCUCGAUAUGUGCAUCUUCAGCGUCCCUUCUCUAUUCAGUCCCAGAACUUCAUGCUCACAUGGCCCGGAGCGUUGGAGUAACACGUGAGCCCGCCUUCUGCGUUCUGAUUGGUUCCCCCUGAACAUGAUUCAGCGCUCUGAUUGGACGUUGCGUCUGUGCAGUUUCUGGACUGUAAUGAGUGAAGACUGCAGGACUGCAGGAUAAGUCGCAUGAGUGUCCGGUGCUCCACCUCCCCCAUGUAGGUUAAUACGUCCCUGGAUUGCACACGUGCCCAGAUUGACUGGGAUUGGGACGAGGCCUGUAAGUGAAAGAUGGAGUCCGAGUGCUUCGCCAUCGAGGGGGUCCCUGCAAUGCUUGCGAGAUUAUUGCAAGAAUGUGUUUAUUUCUUGAAUUGUUGCAUCUGAUGGAAUUGGAAAUAAAAAAUUUAAUGUA